rnacentral:rRNA from 1 species
UACGAAGGGGGCUAGCGUUGUUCGGAAUUACUGGGCGUAAAGCGCGCGCAGGCGGUCCUUCAAGUCAGAGGUGAAAGCCCAGAGCUCAACUCUGGAACGGCCUUUGAGACUAGAGGACUUGGGUACGGGAGAGGUGAGUGGAACUGCGAGUGUAGAGGUGAAAUUCGUAGAUAUUCGCAAGAACACCAGUGGCGAAGGCGGCUCACUGGCCCGAUACUGACGCUGAGGCACGAAAGCGUGGGGAGCAAACAGG